ensembl:processed_transcript 9530051G07Rik RIKEN cDNA 9530051G07 gene
CUCCCGCACAGGAACUUCCGCUAGCCGAAAGGAAAAGGAGCGGGCUGCAUUUUGAGUCCCACAAUGGUUCCUCUGCCUGAAAUGCCUCCCCUCCAUCCUCCACUCUCUAAGUACCACCUGCUUCUCCCAGGCAUCUUCCUCGCUCGCUCAAGUUCAUUUCGGCCUGCCCCAAAGAGUAAUGAGUCAGUUCCUACUCCCCCAAGGGAGGCCCCAUAGCCAGGCAUGCUGCUUUUCUUGUGUCAUUUGAAGCGUGAACUUGCUCAGAUCCUUCACCUCUCUGAGCCUGGCUUUCCCCCUUGAAAGUGGAUGUAACUCAAGCACUGGCUUCAGAGUUGUGCGAAUUCAACGAAAAGCCUUUACUGCCUAGUAAGCACAGAUUUGCCUCUAAGUGCGUUGCAAGCAGCAGCAGCAGCAACCAUUAACUGCCAGUAGCUCCUCAGCCAGAGGUGGGGGCCUCACAAACCCUUGACCAGCUGUGAUAGAAUGUUGAAGAGCUCCACCUUGUCAGAAGAAGAAUAAGUGAAAGAAAUGCUUCGCGUGAGGAUUCAAAGCAUGCCUGUUUGGAAGAUGGAGAGGACCCUGCACAGAAAUCGGAAAGAAGUCCCAGAAUUAAGGACCUUCGGCCAACAGCUAGAGAAGAAAAACUCCAGUCCUACUAUAUGAUGGGCAAUAUUCCAGCUGAGUUUACGCUUUGCUCUGUGUUAGUGGGCUAGUAUGAUCGUCAAUCCUCUUUGUCAACUAUUUCGGAUUAAAAAGCUGCUAGGACAUUAGUGAGGCAUGCAUUUGGAUGUGCCUGUGAAGGGGCUCCUGGAGAGAAUUAACUAAAGCGAAACAGUAUACCUUGAAGGUGUGAGUCACCAUGGGAGUGGGCUGGGGGAGUCUGGCUUGAAUUAAAACAGGGAAAGGAGAAAGGCAACCGAGGACCAGCACUUCUUUUCUGUGUCUUUCCUUUUUCUAGACGAGAUAAGCCCAUGAAGAGAUGUAAAAUCCCAACCACAAAACCCUUUUUGCCAGAUAUUUUUUCACAGUAUUGAGAAAACUAACAUACCCUUUUGACCUACCAUUUGUGAAUCCUGUCUGAUAUCAGAGUGGGUUGGACAGUCUUGAGUAGUACCUUGGUCCUCUUGAAAAGAAAAACAUAAUUCUCAAUUUAAAGGAAUAAGAGAUAGUUUAUUCUGGAACCAAAUAUGAACCUGGAAACAAAGAUUCAUUUUACCACAAAUACCACAUUCCAAUAUGGUAGCAGUUUCAUGACUUUUUUUUUAUGGUAACAGAACAAAGUUGUACCUCAAAUACACUUCAAAUAUAUACUUAAAUACACUAACAUAUCCAAUAGACAGGUUACAGUUUGUUAUAGGCCUCAGUGGAUUUCUGGUGACAUUCUUAGGGUUUUGUAUAGCUGGAGCUAGUGGUUUGCUCAGAGUAUAUUUGAACCUUUUGAUAGUCAGAAAGGUAUUAGGUCAGACAUGGAGUGGGUAAUGAAUAGCUUUCAUAGAAGCGAAUAUGAACCCAAAAUAAUUUGGUUCUGGUCUGCAACAUUUUUAACUCUUCAUAAUCAUGAAGGUUGGUCGUUUAUAGAAUCUCUAGCAGGUUCAAUUCUUUGUUUCUUGUUUUGUUGUUAUGUUUUGUUAUCUGUUUGCUGUGCUAUGUUGUGUUUUUCUGGGAACUUGAGUUCAGUCCCCAGUACUGGCACAUACUCAAGGGUUACAUGCACACACUGAUGUGCUUUCUUUCCUCCAAGUGCCUGAUAUUAUUGUACUGAAUCCCUGCAUGAGUUUGGAGGCAUGCAGCCAGAUGUAUCCUAGCCUGUGACUGAGAAAGGCUAAAACUCAGUAGCAAACCUACUUCCAUGGCUCUAACUGAAACAAAGGUUUUCUAGUUUGUCUUUAGGGUCAUAGAUAGAUGUCUCUCCUAGUAAGCUCCUGCAUGAGCAGUCCUGCUCUCAAACCACAGUCAAGAUAUUUAAUUCUACGUCAAGAUUUGUGGCAGUACUGAGGUCAGAAGGGCAGCCUGUACUGGUUACUGAUUAAUGUGGCUCCCUCUGGGUCCCUAUGUGGGCCAGUGUGUCAAACAACAAUGGAGAAAGGUUAGGGGGAGAUUAACACCUCUUUACAUCUCUUAUGAUACCUACGUUAGAAUGUCUGCCCCAUGGGCUAACACAAGUAUAUCUCCUAGCUUGGACUUUAAAUAGACAGAAUUUUCUGAGACCAUGAUUGAGAGGGACUUGGGAUGAUUCGAAACCAUUUCAGAUCUGCUGCGUUAUUUAGAUUACUGUGCGUAUUAGUUACUUUUCUAGUGUUGUGAUGAAACACCACAACCGAGGCAUCUUCUAAAAGAAAGGAGUUUGGGGGCUUCUAGUUAGAGAGGCUUAGAGUCUGUGAUACAGACCUGAGGCAGCAGGCUGCAGGCAUAGUAGCUAGCACAGAAGCUAUGCUUUCACAACCCUAAUCCCAAUUAAGAAGCAGAGAUAGAGCACCAGGAAUGCUAUGAGGCUUUAAACUAGUGGUUCUCAACCUGUGAAUCAUGACCCAAAGGAGAUUGCAUAUCAGAUAAUUACAUUAUGCUUUAUAACAGUAGCAAAAUUGGUCAUGAAAUCAUUUUAUGAUUGAGGUUGGAGGAGAUUGCCAUAACAUUCAAACCACCACACUACCACAGCAAGCAUGUUCCAGUGACAGAUAGUUGAAAUCCCCAGAAGCCUCUUAUAGAUGCAAGGUAGUCUACAAAUCAGUGGAACUGGAGCCCAGGUUUGGGCCAUUUUGGAUCUGCUGUAGGUUGAAAGACCUUUCCUGGAAAUGAAUAUGGGUAUGUCCCUUUUUUCACUUUGUGCAAACAAAACUGAUCUUAAAUUAUAGAUCAGCAAGCUAGAUAUUAAUUAAAAGGUAAUUCCAAAAUUUAUGGCCACCACUGAACUCAUUGGUACUGCCUCCUGAAACAGCAAUAUGUGAGACUUCUCCAAGGCUCCUUAGCAGUUAGUGUUAGUAGUCAGACCAAAGUAAGGCAUUUAUGAGCUUAGGUCUAGGAAUGCAUUCUCUAAGUCUGCCAUCUAAGUCAAGGUAACAUGUCUAAAAGAUUAUUUUCACUCUUGCUGUUCACUGUUUUAAACCACUCAGUCAUAAGAACAUUCACAACACACAUUUACAAAGAACAUAUGGUAAGCCAUAAAUCAAUCUCAAUGCGUUAAAAACAACUUCCAUCAUAAACCAUGCUAUCUCUUAACAAUGAAAUCAAACUGAGAUUAAAAAAGAAAAAUGACAGAAAAAGAGGCUGGAGUUAUUAUCUGAAUUCGUAUAAAGUUUGCCUUAUAAUACAUGAAAUUUAAGGUUCAAUCCUUAGUACCACAAAAGAAAAGAAAAAAAUUACAUGACAAUAUUUAACCACUUAUACAUUGAACAGUACUCUUCCAAAUAACCCACUGAUAAAAACAAGUAUCAAGAAAAAAAAAAAUAUAUAUANUAUAUUUAAAAAAUUAGACCCUUAAGUCAAUAUUUAGGAGAACAGAAUAAAUACAAAUCAAGAAGGAGAUCCAUGGUAAAGAAUUGAUCAGAAACCAAUAGAACUGAAAAUAGAAAAUGAAAGAAUAUCAAAGGAGUAAAAGACUGAUAAGAUCUUUUAGAAAGAUCAGUGAUAUGGAUAAACGUCUAACAAGGCUUGCGGGAGCUAAAAGGACUGGGAAAGGGGAGGAAUUGAAGGAAGUCAGGUAGGAAGGAGAAAGAGAGAGAGAGAGAGACUAGGAAUUUGAGGAAGAGUGGAAUGAGGGCUUAUGGGAAAGUUUAAAGGGAGGAAAGGAAAGGGAUAAAUUAUACAAUUAUAUUAUAAUCUCUAAAAAUAAAAUGAGAAAGAGGGGAAUGGGGCACCCAUUACUAAUAGUAGCCUUGGAGCUAUUGGCAAGUGAUAGCUGCUAGAAGAGAUUCAGUCUUCCCUAAGGGUGUCCCACAUUCCAGUGGAAAGUCACAUGUCCAAGAGUAUUUGGGCAGCACAGAUUUCUUUUGACAGGACAAAAGACAUGAUGAGUGGGUGAGAAUGGUGGAAUGAACCUUGGAAAAGCUGAAGGAGGGAGGAUGAAUAUGACCAAAACACAUUGUAUGAAACUCUCGAGGAACUCAUAAUGUUUUUAAAGAGGCAGUUGCCUAUAGACAUGCCCACAAGCCAAGCCAAUGUAGGCAAUCCAUCAUUGAGACUCUCUUCCAAGGUGUCAUUGGGAUGAUGAAAGCUAAUGAUUACAAAACCCCACUAAUGUGGAAAAAAACAAAGACAAAACUAAAAUAGCAUUAUCCUCAGAUAUUUGACAAUAUAGAAUGCACCCCGUGAGCUCAUUCAUAUACUCAGUACCUCUGUUAUGAAGAUGUUUGCUAAUUUAUAUUUGUGAUGAGUUGAGAUAAUGUGACUCCAAUUAGGACAUUAAAUAAAAGGCUUUUCAGCUGUUUGGAUUU